UUCUAUGCUGGGCUGCCCUGUAUUUUCAUCCUUCUCCUGAUCGAGCUGUUGAUUUUGCUCUGGAGAAAGUGCCCCGUCAGAGGGAGAGCUGUGCAAAGACAGGAGGAAAUACCUAUGAGGCAGAUCCCACAGACUGAAUAUGCAGCUCUGACGUACAAGAACAGAAACGCUCCUCUGUGACUGAUGCAGUCUCACUAAAGUGGUUUAUAUUUUUUAAAACAAGAGAUGCAAAAAGAAAGAAUGAAAGAGAAAGUGAGAGAAAUAUGGAAAGUCUCAUGUUUGUAAUGUGCCAUGAUGUGCUGUGAGUUUGCUUGAAAUACAUCUUCCAUAGUCAGUUCUCUGAUCCAUAGUCUGGGCUGACACAUUCCUUCUUGCAAAAAGACACGUGGAGUCGUUUGUGAGUUGCCUGCAGAGUGAUCAGGCAUUGGCUAGGCCUCCCAUCUCAAACCUGGCACUUCCCGCACCAAGGCACCUGUCACAGAAUUCACUCACCGCUAGGGCACCUCCUCCUGGCUGCUCAUGGGAUUAGCUCCUUCCAUCUCCAACACCCACUUCCAUCAUCUCAUUCUCACUGCAGCCCCAUGCGCUCUCCUGGACUCUGUGCUUUCCUCUUCCCGGCUUGGCAGCUCCCUCGUCAGGCCUUGGCCCUCUGGUCAGGUCACUGGGUGUUUCCCCCCUGCCAGGGUAUCAAAGUGCCACAGGAUAAACUGUCCCAGGUCAUCACCAAACCCACUGCC